rnacentral:rRNA from 1 species
UACAGAGGUCCCGAGCGUUGUUCGGAUUCACUGGGCGUAAAGGGUGCGUAGGUGGUGAGGUAAGUCGGAUGUGAAAUCUCCGGGCUCAACCCGGAAAUGGCAUUGGAAACUACCUUGCUGGAGGAUUUGAGGGGGGAUUGGAAUACUUGGUGUAGCAGUGAAAUGCGUAGAUAUCAAGUGGAACACCAGUGGCGAAGGCGACCACCUGGACUGAUACUGACACUGAGGUGCGAAAGCGUGGGGAGCAAACAGG